GAGGAGGUUCCCGAGUCUCUCAUCCCCAACACUGGAGAAGUCCAAGGGGAGAUUUGCUGGGACCAUUGGUAUGCAGAAUAUCUCCUAAGGACUUAGAACUAUGAUAGGGGAGCCAAGUGCUGGAAGGCUAGAGAAGGAAGCUGGGAGAUAAUGCCCAGUGUAAAAGGUGGACUAUGAAGACGGAAUAGAGUAAUAAAUAUGGAAGUGAGACACUCAGGGAGAAAAGAUUCUGGACAUGGGGCAGAACGCUCAAUGGAAGACAGAGAGAAAUGGGGCUAACAAACAAGAGUGAGGAAGACCACCACCUCAAGCCUACCAACUCUGAAGUGCCUGAUGCUCAAGAUACAUUCCACCAAUCAGAAGAGAUCAGAUGUAAACUUUCAGCUACUGUUCUGAUGCCAAGCUUGUCUGCCUGUUACCAUGCUCCUCAUCAUGAUGAACGUGAACUCAUUCUCUGAAACCCUCCAGAAUGAAAGGAGUAGUCAUCCCCCCCCGCAUCAGUACAAUGUGUCAGAGAGGAGCCAUGGGCAACAUCAUCAAUAUCUCGGCCUUCCAGUCUCUGCACAUCGUUAUGUUGGGCUUGGACUCGGCCGGCAAGACCACAGUGCUCUACCAGCUCAAGUUCAACGAGUUCGUG
rnacentral:lncRNA from 1 species